GAUGAACGCUGGCGGCGUGCCUAAUACAUGCAAGUCGAGCGAACGGACGAGAAGCUUGCUUCUCUGAUGUUAGCGGCGGACGGGUGAGUAACACGUGGAUAACCUACCUAUAAGACUGGGAUAACUUCGGGAAACCGGAGCUAAUACCGGAUAAUAUUUUGAACCGCAUGGUUCAAAAGUGAAAGACGGUCUUGCUGUCACUUAUAGAUGGAUCCGCGCUGCAUUAGCUAGUUGGUAAGGUAACGGCUUACCAAGGCAACGAUGCAUAGCCGACCUGAGAGGGUGAUCGGCCACACUGGAACUGAGACACGGUCCAGACUCCUACGGGAGGCAGCAGUAGGGAAUCUUCCGCAAUGGGCGAAAGCCUGACGGAGCAACGCCGCGUGAGUGAUGAAGGUCUUCGGAUCGUAAAACUCUGUUAUUAGGGAAGAACAUAUGUGUAAGUAACUGUGCACAUCUUGACGGUACCUAAUCAGAAAGCCACGGCUAACUACGUGCCAGCAGCCGCGGUAAUACGUAGGUGGCAAGCGUUAUCCGGAAUUAUUGGGCGUAAAGCGCGCGUAGGCGGUUUUUUAAGUCUGAUGUGAAAGCCCACGGCUCAACCGUGGAGGGUCAUUGGAAACUGGAAAACUUGAGUGCAGAAGAGGAAAGUGGAAUUCCAUGUGUAGCGGUGAAAUGCGCAGAGAUAUGGAGGAACACCAGUGGCGAAGGCGACUUUCUGGUCUGUAACUGACGCUGACGUGCGAAAGCGUGGGGAUCAAACAGGAUUAGAUACCCUGGUAGUCCACGCCGUAAACGAUGAGUGCUAAGUGUUAGGGGGUUUCCGCCCCUUAGUGCUGCAGCUAACGCAUUAAGCACUCCGCCUGGGGAGUACGACCGCAAGGUUGAAACUCAAAGGAAUUGACGGGGACCCGCACAAGCGGUGGAGCAUGUGGUUUAAUUCGAAGCAACGCGAAGAACCUUACCAAAUCUUGACAUCCUUUGACAACUCUAGAGAUAGAGCUUUCCCCUUCGGGGGACAAAGUGACAGGUGGUGCAUGGUUGUCGUCAGCUCGUGUCGUGAGAUGUUGGGUUAUGUCCCGCAACGAGCGCAACCCUUAAGCUUAGUUGCCAUCAUUAAGUUGGGCACUCUAAGUUGACUGCCGGUGACAAACCGGAGGAAGGUGGGGAUGACGUCAAAUCAUCAUGCCCCUUAUGAUUUGGGCUACACACGUGCUACAAUGGACAAUACAAAGGGCAGCGAAACCGUGAGGUCAAGCAAAUCCCAUAAAGUUGUUCUCAGUUCGGAUUGUAGUCUGCAACUCGACUACAUGAAGCUGGAAUCGCUAGUAAUCGUAGAUCAGCAUGCUACGGUGAAUACGUUCCCAGGUCU
rnacentral:rRNA from 1 species